UAACUGGGCGUAAAGGGCACGCAGGCGGUGACUUAAGUGAGGUGUGAAAGCCCCGGGCUUAACCUGGGAAUUGCAUUUCAUACUGGGUCGCUAGAGUACUUUAGGGAGGGGUAGAAUUCCACGUGUAGCGGUGAAAUGCGUAGAGAUGUGGAGGAAUACCGAAGGCGAAGGCAGCCCCUUGGGAAUGUACUGACGCUCAUGUGCGAAAGCGUGGGGAGCAAACAGGAUUAGAUACCCUGGUAGUCCACGCUGUAAACGCUGUCGAUUUGGGGAUUGGGCUUUAAGUUUGGUGCCCGUAGCUAACGUGAUAAAUCGACCGCCUGGGGAGUACGGCCGCAAGGUUAAAACUCAAAUGAAUUGACGGGGGCCCGCACAAGCGGUGGAGCAUGUGGUUUAAUUCGAUGCAACGCGAAGAACCUUACCUACUCUUGACAUCCAUGGAAUCUUGUAGAGAUAUGAGAGUGCCUUCGGGAACCAUGAGACAGGUGCUGCAUGGCUGUCGUCAGCUCGUGUCGUGAGAAG
rnacentral:rRNA from 1 species